rnacentral:rRNA from 1 species
AAAGAUUAAGCCAUGCAUGUCUAAGUAUAAACGUUCUAAACGUGAAACCGUGAAUGGCUCAUUAAAACAGCUAUAAUUCACUUGAUCUUGACACAAUCCUACUUGGAUAACUGUGGUAAUUCUAGAGCUAAUACAUGCAUUAAAGCUCUGACCUCACGGAAAGAGUGCAUUUAUUAGAACAAAACCAAGCGGCUUCGGCUGUUUUCGGUUGACUCAUAAUAACUAAGCUGAUCGCAUGGUCUUGUACCGGCGACGUGUCUUUCAAGUAUCUGCCUUAUCAACUUUCGAUGGUAGUGUAUCUGACUACCAUGGUGAUGACGGGUAACGGAGGAUAAGGGUUCGACUCCGGAGAAGGGGCCUGAGAAAUGGCCACUACGUCUAAGGAUGGCAGCAGGCGCGCAAAUUACCCACUCUCAGAACGAGGAGGUAGUGACGAGAAAUAACGAGACCGUUCUCUUAAGAGGCCGGUCAUCGGAAUGGGUACAAUUUAAACCCUUUAACGAGUAUCUAUGAGAGGGCAAGUCUGGUGCCAGCAGCCGCGGUAAUUCCAGCUCUCAAAAUGCAUAGAAUUAUUGCUGCGGUUAAAAAGCUCGUAGUUGGAUCUGUGCUGGCCUCCCGGUCCACCUUCGGGUGUGCACUGGUGAGGUUGGCUUUCCUGCCCAUUUUUCGGUCAGUGCCUUUAACCGGGUGCUGGUCGUAGUGGGCAAGUUUACUUUGAACAAAUCAGAGUGCUCAAAACAGGCGUUUCGCUUGAAUGUUCGUGCAUGGAAUAAUAGAAGAGGAUUUCGGUUCUAUUUUAUUGGUUUUAUAGACUGAGAUAAUGGUUAACAGAGACAAACGGGGGCAUUCGUAUUGCUGCGUGAGAGGUGAAAUUCUUGGACCGUAGCAAGACGAACUACAGCGAAAGCAUUUGCCAAGAAUG